GCGUGUGGCGCCCUCCAUCAACAGUGCAAUUCCUAAUUACCGUAUUGUUGCUGUUAUUGACGACAGAUCUGUAUUUUGGCCUUAUUUUUUCACCUUUUUCCUAUAAUUAAUUACCGGAUCAAUCGAUUGUAAAAACAAUUGGGCUUUGGUGACGUUAAUUAAGACAUGUUCUGGUUAUUAAUUAUUACACUAUUGGCGAAUGCCAAUUCCGCGGCAGCAUCUCAUGGAUUCGAUUUCGGUGAUACUUUGGCAUUAAUUAUUGGACUUGUUAUCGGGAUCGUUGGAUUUUUCGCCUGCAUGGGGGCUUAUGCACGAAGAAAGACUCGAUAUGAUUCUAUUUGAAGAUCAGGUUAUGCAGACGUAUUUUUUUAUGCUGCCCAGGGGAUGGACAUCGAGAGAACGAUAACUUUCCACGUAAUCGUAAUCAUCCGGAAUCAUCGAUGAAUAAUCAACAUUUAAGGAUAUAGAGUCGAAAAUAAAGUAUAAGCAUCGAUCUACAAUUUUAUACGCCGGAUAAACCUCAUAAUUUAUAAUAAAUAAUUAUGAAUUUUUUGUAACUAGAUAGAAUAAACUAAGAUGUAUAUUUUACGUCAUUUUAUACAAUGUAUAUUUCGACCUUGAAGUGAAUUCGAUUUACUCGAAGAACGGAGAAGACAAAGUAAAUUGAUAGAGACAAUUGAUACUUCGCAGUGAGUUUAAAAAAUAUUUUUAAAAUCAACAGAAGGACUGGUAUAGUUAUUAGUUAAUUUUUAAUUUGAGCUUCUCCCAUUUAUUCCAGAACCGCAUGGAAAGUUGCAGAUUUUUUUGCAACUCGAGAACAAAGUAAUAAUUUUUAAAAAAUACAAUUUAACCCGCGUCUUUACGGGGAAGUCCCGAAAUAUUUGGAUACAUUCGGUAAAUUCUAAUAUUUUAUAAUUUUAUAUAUUUAUAUAAUAUUUUGUUGUAUAAUAUUUUCUUUUUGCGAAGAAAUUGUCUUUACUAAAAUUAAAUUUUCCUAUAGGCAUGGACCUUUCGUUAUUUGUUGUCAAUGGAAUUGAUUGAGAGAGGGAAAAAAUAUUCAUAAUCCAUGAAGGAAUGAUCUGUCGCAUAUCAAGGUCGACCUGCUUUUUUUAUUACCAUUACAACACUACAAUUAUUAAAAUUCCCAAAAUUAAAUAAGAAUAACAGUCUUGAUUCAGUCACAUUUUUUCGGACGAACGUGAAUUGUAUCUUGUAGAAAUUAUUACCUACGAAGACCAGAACUAAAAUAUGACGGCAAUAGUCGCUCUUCUGAUUUAAAUAAUAAAUAGUUAAAAGUCAGAACAAAAAUUAAAUAAAAAGACCGAAUGAAAUUCACAAUAAAACAGUUAAAUAAAUUGAUUAAACUGAACAUUAAAAUAAUUUUCAAUAGAAAUAUCCGAAAACGAUAGAAACAAUACAUUAUGAAAAUAUUACUCAACAUAAAGAACAAAAACUGAACAAAAAAACGCUUUCACUAAAAUGGAUAAACUCUAGUUGAAUUGAAUUGAGGAUAUUUAUCAACAAUUCAACGGAAUUGCAAAACCUAAUGGAAGAGAGUGUCAUAUUGCACAUUAACUUCGGUGGAGAGACAUUUGAAAUUUACAGAGAAAUUGAAAAAUCUUUUAUCUGCAAAGUAAGGCCCUAUAAUACUUCUAAUGGAAUUUUUCUGUUGAGGGAAAAUGUGGAUUGUUAAAGUUGGAAAAUGCCAUUGCAUCAGGCCCCACAUCAUCAGAAUUCAUAAAAUCUUUAGAAUUCCCUAUAAAAAUUUCUAUAGGACAAUCUCAUGAAGAAUUUCUGACAUAUUCUACAGAAAAAGUUAUCCGAAUUAUGGACACGAAUUUUCCUAAACCAUCACGACAUUUUCAUUAUUAUAAACAAGCACAAUAAAAUAUAUAUAAAUAAAAAGUAGUUUCGAUUCAGAAUAUUGAAAAAUAGAACAUGAAUAUCGCCUCAAUAUUUUUAACUGGUUUUUUUUUAAUAUAAAAUCACAUUAUCUGUAGAAUACUUUGGAAUUCUCUCAUUGGAAAAAUUCAUAUCGGAAAUUCUAGAGGAUUAUCCUAUUGCCAUUUUUAAUUCGUGUUUAAUUCGUUUUCACAGCUGCAUUCAUCGGACCAGCGAACCAUAAAAAAAAGAAGGAAAAAAGGUCAUACAAUUCAGUAUAGUAUGUAAUAAAGGAGCGAAAAUAUGGGUAUAUCUAACUAGUAACACAUCUUAUUGGUUUUCUUUAAUUGAAGUAAUUUUUAAAAUUGCUAGAAAAUACAUUAAAGCAUAACAGUGACUAUAUUUAAUCGUCCUCAUACAUUCAUUCAUCUCGCACUCAUAAAAAAAAACAUUAUGGUCAUUCGUACAUCUUUAAUUAGCUCUCAAGAUAAACGAAAUCUAUCAAGCACUCAUUAUCUCAUUAUUUAAAAACACUUUUACACUUACAUUUUUUUUUUUUCUCCGAGGAUAAUGGCGAAUUGUUCAUAAGCCAUUUCGAUCGUAAGGACUAGUUGAGGCCUGCACAAAUCAUGAAUCAUACCUUCUUUCAAUUGAAAACGAAAAAAAAAAAACUAAUUUAUCAGUUUUACCGAAAGAAAAAAAAA